rnacentral:rRNA from 1 species
AAGCGGUGGAGCAUGUGGUUUAAUUCGAUGCAACGCGAAGAACUUACCUGGCUUGACAUCCCGAGAAUCCCCUGGAAACAGGGGAGUGCCUUUCGGGGAACUCGGAGACAGGUGCUGCAUGGCUGUCGUCAGCUCGUGUCGUGAGAUGUUGGGUUAAGUCCCGCAACGAGCGCAACCCUUGUCUUUAAUUGCCAGCAUUCAGUUGGGCACUUUAAAGAGACUGCCGGUGUUAAGCCGGAGGAAGGUGGGGAUGACGUCAAGUCCUCAUGGCCUUUAUGCCCAGGGCCACACACGUGCUACAAUGGGUGGUACAAAGAGAUGCCAACUCGCGAGAGCGCGCCAAUCUCAGAAAGCCAUCCUCAGUUCGGAUUGGAGUCUGCAACUCGACUCCAUGAAGUUGGAAUCGCUAGUAAUCGCGGAUCAGCACGCCGCGGUGAAUACGUUCCCGGGCCUU